GCCGCGCAGCAGCAAAUCAAUGAGUGGCGAGAGGAGCUGCUGCAAAAAGGCCUAGUGGGGCCGACUAAAGCUCUCAGCUACCCGAAGGAAAUUGAGCUGUGGGACACACUCUUCAAAGUGGAAUGCUCUAUUGAAGAGGUUUCCUCCCGAUGGACUCAGAGCCUGAGAAAAGAGCUGAGGAAAAGGAUUUCCAUGGCAAGUGAUGAUGCUAAAGUUCUGCUGUGCUGCGUUGAGCCAACGGCGUCAGCUGUGAGGAGCAGC